CAGUCGCCGCGGGAAUACGUAGGGUCCGAGCGUUGUCCGGAAUUAUUGGGCGUAAAGAGCUCGUAGGCGGUCUGUCGCGUCUGCCGUGAAAUCCUCAGGCUCAACCUGAGGCGUGCGGUGGGUACGGGCAGGCUAGAGUGCGGUAGGGGAGAAUGGAACUCCUGGUGUAGCGGUGGAAUGCGCAGAUAUCAGGAAGAACACCGAUGGCGAAGGCAGUUCUCUGGGCCGUAACUGACGCUGAGGAGCGAAAGCGUGGGGAGCGAACAGGAUUAGAUACCCCAGUAGUCCCUGUCUCUUAUAC
rnacentral:rRNA from 1 species